GUCAAUUUCACGGUAUUGAUAUAUAACGCAUACUCCACUCUCAAGUGGAAGUGGAACUUGUUGACUGAUGCCAAGGCAGCUGCUAAGAAGGGAGCAGCUGCGGGCCAGAAGACUACAGCCAAGGCAGCACUGGUCCACACCUGCCCUGUCUAUCGGGAAAGUGGUGUUGGUUGGUACUGUAUGUGCCUUUAGGUUCCUCUCCAUGUGUCGGCUAUUGUACUAGCCUGUGUGGUACAGUCUUUCAUAUGUGUAGUAGUGUGUUUCAUCAUAUUGCUUAGUUUAUCAUUUGUGUUCACUUUGAAUUCAAUCUAAACCACAGAUUAACUUCCUCCAUUUUGUCUUUCACCUUUAUAGAUGCAGACCUGAAGACAUUCAAGCAGCACUUUGAGAGCAAGCAUCCCAAGUCUCCAAUGGUCCCAGUACUGGUUGAUGUGUAGGCCUAAGUGACCACACACUCAAAUGGACCUACAGCUGGGACACAAAUUGACCACGAUUUGAAUGCUGCAACUGUGACGGAAUGAUGUCGAGGGACACACGCUGAGACCCCGCGUAUAACUGGACAUGGGCUGGAUAUUUGUGGCAACAACCUAUAAGGGAUGCAGAAGCACACCAGCACCCAAUUUGAUGUUUAUUCCAUGGCCAACCAUCCCUCUAGCUACCCCUUAUUCCACACUGCCUUUUAUGCCCCAUGGUCCCUCAACUUCGGACACUUUGGAACUCUCCAUCUUAUCUACCUUCACCCAUUUUCCCUACGCUGCUUCCUUCACUUGUUCUUCUCCUGAUUUGAUAACAUCUAGACUCAGUAACACAUUUUAAAAGUGUUGUGCUGUACUGUUUUUGCUAACUUUUUUCAUCUGUGUAAUGCUGUCCUCCCGCUUAUGCUGGGGUUCAGACUAAAUGCAGUGGUAAAUGUGCUGCUCACAAUUGACAGCAGCAACAUUGACCUGUUAAAUUGACAAGAAGGCUGUUGAUAGAGUUGCGUUUAGGCAUGUAUUCCUUGUUAUGAGUCUUAAGUGUGUUUCUCAGUCUGCUGGAGUUGACCUAGUAUUUAUAUUAAACCUACCUUACACAUCCA